rnacentral:misc_RNA from 1 species
GAACGCACAUUGCGCCUUCCGGUAUUCCGGAAGGCAUGCCUGUUCGAGCGUCAUAUAAAAACCUCAAGCAUGAAUUUAUUCUUACUUGGUAUUGGUCAAGGAUUGAGCUUGCCUUCUUCCUGUCCGAAAUGCAAUGGCGAAGUUCUGUCUUCCAUUCAGUGUAGUAAUCAACGUUAUGUUUCACUUCUGGACAUGAGAGGCUUCUGCUACAAAUUAAAUUCCCCAAUUCUAAAGUUUGACCUCGGAUCAGGUAGGGAUACCCGCUGAACUUAAG